GUAAGACUCCUUGGCAGAGCUCUCAAUGCUUUUUAAAAUCUAGCUCCAUAUAUAGCUUCCCAGGCUCAUCUCCAGCAAUGUUUUAUGACAUUGUCACCACAUCACUUGCUUAGUUAUCCAUCCUCAAACUUGCCAUGCCCUUCCACAGCUCCUCACUUUAGCCUUUGCUGUUCGUCUUCCUGAAACACCCUGUCUUGCAUGUUCGUCUCAUGGACUCAAGUGUUAAGUCUCAUCCCAAACACUCAAAACCCCUUGCACAGUGCCAAGCAGUCACAAGGGUGCUGGACUUCACUCAAGUCAUCAAGCCUGAUCUCAUAGGAAGGGCCAUCUAGGACUCUUCCAUUGCCAGGGAUGUCUGCCUGUGGUCCUUAGGUUAGAGCAGAAAGGAGAGAAAGUAGCUCGUGGUGAAAACAGAAGUCACCAAGGGCCUACUACAUGGAAAUACUUCUGCCAACUCUAAUUCACAAGUUCAGAUGCACCUGAGGACAACCCAAUCCAAAGCAUCCCAUGCAGGAACCAGGCCCUCUCACCCAGAGCUGUCAGAAAGGCUACUUGGGAAUCACUGCGUGCCCAACUGAAGACUUCUGACCACUUCAACCUGGUGGAUUCUGGUGCUUAAUCCUGAAUCCAAAGAAAUAAAAUGAGCUGUGAAGAAAGAACU
rnacentral:lncRNA from 1 species